rnacentral:tRNA from 1 species
GCCGGGGUGGUGGAACGGUUUACACGACGGGCUUAAAACCCGUUGUCUCGAAAGGGACAUGUGGGUUCGAAUCCCACCCCCGGCA